rnacentral:lncRNA from 1 species
CCCGAGGCAUGUGGGAUCUUAGUUCCCUGACCAGGGAUUGAAACUGUGUGCCCUGCAUUGGAAGGCAGAUUGUUAACCACUGGACCACAAGGGAAGUCCCCUAAUCAUUAACUCUUGAGUCAGCCUUUUAGUUCAAAAGAUACGGACACAGAGGCUUGUAUACGGUUUCAAGUCCUAUUUCCGCUUCCUCAAUGGGAUGGUGGAUUUAUGGGUAGGAUGGAAGGAAGGAAGUGUUCAUCAUUGACUGGAUAGAUGUAUGAACAGCUGAGUUGGUGGGUAAACAGAUGAACUUAGGGACAGGUGUAUGGACAGGUGAUUGGGUGGACAGAUUAUUAGAAGAAUGAUUGAUAAGGGUACUGAAUUCUACCCAGGCAUUCUGUCCCUAAGCCUAUUACCUGUCAGGACUCAACAUUUCUACCUCUUCCUAAUUUCCCUGCAGAGACACUUCCCCAGCCCAAUGUCACAGUCAACAACUCAGCCCCAGGAGCAUGUGGAAUCCAUCAGCCUGCACAGCUUGAACCCAAAGAGCUCUGUGGCCAUCCAGUGGUACAUCCGGGGCCAGAAGCUCUUCACUGGGGGCCACAGGGAGCUGUCCUCUGACCACAGGAUACUGUAUGGAACAUCACCAGGAAUGACUCGGGCUUCUACCAGUGUGAGAGCUGCAACUCAGCUACCAGCAGCAUCAGCAACCCUAUUCUCAUCAAAGUCAUUUCCCAAGAAUCCUGUGGAGUUCACCUUUGAAAUAUUCUUUCAGAGGAAAAAUACUCUCUAAAAUGCAUCUAGGUAAUGCAUGAGACAGAGUGCUCAGGGCUGGUGCACUGGGAUGACCCUGAGGGAUGGGAUGAGGAGGGAGGUGGGAGGGAGGGUCAGGAUGGGGAACACAGGUACACCCAUGGCUAAUUCAUGUGAAUGUAUGGCAAAAACCACCACAAUAUUGUAAAGUAAUUAGCCUCCAAUUAAAAUAAAUCUUUUUUAAAAAGAAAGAAAAAAA